GUGGGGAAUAUUGGACAAUGGGGGCAACCCUGAUCCAGCAAUGCCGCGUGUGUGAAGAAGGCCUGAGGGUUGUAAAGCACUUUGAUCGAGGAAGAAGGCGUAGCGAUGAAGAAUCGUUGUGAUUGACGGUACUCGAAGAACAAGCACCGGCUAACUCUGUGCCAGCAGCCGCGGUAAUACAGAGGGUGCGAGCGUUAAUCGGAAUAACUGGGCGUAAAGGGCGCGUAGGCGGUUUAUCAGGUUGGAUGUGAAAGACCCGGGCUUAACCUGGGAAUGGCAUCUAAGACGGAUAGGCUAGAGUGAAGUAGAGGUAAGCGGAAUUUCCGGAGUAGCGGUGAAAUGCGUAGAGAUCGGAAGGAACAUCGGUGGCGAAGGCGGCUUACUGGACUUAGACUGACGCUGAGGCGCGAGAGCGUGGGGAGCAAACAGGAUUAGAAACCCCGGUAGUCC
rnacentral:rRNA from 1 species